ensembl:lncRNA
GGAGGCUGACCCAACUGCAAGGUGCUGUCUGUGCUGGGCAGGAAAGUGUCCUGCUAGCCCUUCUCUGAGCCCUCAGCACAAAAUGUCCCCAGCAAGGAACACGGAACAAGUCUGUUCCUUGUUGUAGAUCUGAAAAAGGCCUUACACAUCCCAAAGGCAUCAGUCAUGCUCCUCCGCGCCCCACCAGUGGCUGAUAAAGGCGAUUAUUCUGCUGAGGUCCUUGGCUCCCUCUGACUAUGGGCUGUUCCUCUCUCCAGGCCCUCUGGCUGCAGUCUCUCAAAAUGGGAAAUGCCAUCCGAGCCUGGCGAGGACAUGCUGUUACUGACGGAAGUUCAUCACACACUGCGGCAUUUCUGCAGGAAUUUUCACUCUGAGAAACUGUUUUCAGGAACAGAGAGGCUUCAGAUGAUUGGUAUAAGAAUCCAGGCAUUAACGAUUAUCUGAUUAUGAUUUUGGAAAAAUAAGAUAUCUCCUGUCUACAUAUGUGGAGUGAUGUUUCUAAUGAAAAGCAACAAUGGAGUCAUUUUGAUCUCUGAUGGGUGAAACUCAUUGGAAUGGAAACCAACAUCUAUGCAACAAACCAAGGCUCACCAUGUCUUACAUCUGCCAAGUGCCUGGGGACUCCAAAGGGAGCAAAGUAUGAAGAAUACCAAAGAAACACAGAAGAACAGAAAAGUCCAUCUGAAUUUCAGGAUGUUUUACUGGAACCUGAGUUGAGUUUGCUGUCUGUGUCAUCCAUAUUAGACCACAGUGAGACAUCCUUGCAACCUGAUGGGACUGAAGGGUGUGUUAGUGCCACCAAUCAAUCUGAAGCACAGCGGCUCUCUGAAGAAUUAUUGUGUUCAGCAAGGCACAAGCCAAAGGAAGACAAUCUGAACUUCACCUCACACACAGAAUGGCCAUUCCUUGCAGGAAAAAAUCCAGCCAACAAACCAGAAAGGAGUCAUGAGAUCAGAGUCAUAAGACACAAGCCAAGUGCUAUCACAUUUUCUGAUUUUGAAUUUUUAUCACAUGAAGCGAAUACUAAACUCCAUAUUUAUGAGGCAGGAGAAGAAGACUUUUCAUCUGAAGAGGAAGAAGCAGAUGGCAGAGGUGAUGAUGAUCUGCUUACAGAACUGCCUCUGUAUGAGGCAUUUUUCAAUGGCUUUCAUAGAACGGAUGUUUUCCCAAGAAAUCAAGCUAAAUGUGAACCUACUGAGUAUCCACACAUGUGUCAUUUAGAAGACUGUAGUGACCAUUCCAGAACGGAAUCGAAGGACCAUGACAAGGAAGGAAAAUACAUGGAGCUGGAGACUCAAUCAGAAAAAAGAUUGGAAUGGUCAGACUCCAUGUCAUGCCUUAUGAAGAAACUGGAACAGCUGAAUUUAGAUAUUGAAGAAGCUCUGAGUGCUAGCUCAUCUCCCUCCAGUACUCCUUCUACCACAAGGCACAAACAACUGUGCCCUGCUCGAGUGGAGACAAGCCCUUAUGGAGAUCUUCAAGGAAAAGGAUCGUGGAAGCACAGAACUGCAGACCACCGGGAUCUAGAUUGUUUAUCUUACCCAGUAUCAACUGGAGCACGACCUAAACCUUAUGUAAGUAGCUGCUGAAUAUUUACAUUCUCUGACUCUGUGAUUCACUACCUUAAAAACUGCUCCAAAAGUAAUGCCUUCUAUUUAUUUUUGUGGAAACUGCAGCAGAUACAAUGAGCAUAAUCACACUAUUUGAUACAGCAAAUUCUCAGCUACAAAAAACUAUUUUUCAACAUAGUCACCAUGAGCUAUGCGUUUUCAUCAGCAAUGAAUAAGAGCCUGCAUGCUGCGCUUGUAAAAAUCUACACAAGCAGAGGUGACCCACUGUUGUCACCACUGCUGAAAUGCACUACUCACCACCUCACUGUGCACAUUUCCACUGUUUGAUCUCCAUAAAUGUUCAGAAAGCAUCGAUGAACGUCAGUGGAUGGCAUUUUUUUCUGUGUGGAGGAAUUCAGUGACAUCCCUUUGCUUCAUCUGCUCUUCCAUGUCAGAUGCCAUUCAGUCAGACUGCCCCUCUGUUGCCAUCUGUCACACGGUAACAAAAUGUAAUGGAAUAUUGGUGGGAAGGUUCAUUCCCUACUGCCAUACCACCAACAUCUGCCUCUUAUAUCUUGGCCAACAUAAUUAAGCGGGAGGCAUUACUUUCAGAACAGUCUUGCCUGGGGGAGUUCAGUGUGCAUAAUGGAUACAGAUGAAAGUUAAUUCAGUGUUCAAUUUCCAGGGCCAUGGGGUUCAGCUCAUCUGAUGUUGGACAACUAUAAAGUAGUGUUCUACAUCUGAACCAGUUACUUGGACUGGCAUUGUAGUCAAGGGAAAGAAACAGGCACUUCUGAAAAGUAAAUGGUUUCAUCUGGAGGUUAAAUGUGAUGGAUUCUAGGCAUCAAUGCCACUAUUGCAUCUUCUUUGCUGCUUUUAGCAUUAUUUUCUUGUGUUUUUUUUAUCUGGGUGUCCCACCAUCCAGGGUUCUGAGUUUUUGGUGAG